CUAGUGGCGCACGGGUGCGUAACGCGUGGGAAUCUGCCCUUAGGUACGGAAUAACUCAGGGAAACUUGAGCUAAUACCGUAUAAUGACUUCGGUCCAAAGAUUUAUCGCCUAAGGAUGAGCCCGCGUAGGAUUAGCUUGUUGGUGAGGUAAAAGCUCACCAAGGCGACGAUCCUUAGCUGGUCUGAGAGGAUGAUCAGCCACACUGGGACUGAGACACGGCCCAG
rnacentral:rRNA from 1 species